rnacentral:rRNA from 1 species
AUUGAACGCUGGCGGCAGGCCUAACACAUGCAAGUCGAGCGGCAGCGGGAAAGUAGCUUGCUACUUUUGCCGGCGAGCGGCGGACGGGUGAGUAAUGCCUGGGAAAUUGCCCAGUCGAGGGGGAUAACAGUUGGAAACGACUGCUAAUACCGCAUACGCCCUACGGGGGAAGGCAGGGGACCUUCGGGCCUUGCGCGAUUGGAUAUGCCCAGGUGGGAUUAGCUAGUUGGUGAGGUAAUGGCUCACCAAGGCGACGAUCCCUAGCUGGUCUGAGAGGAUGAUCAGCCACACUGGAACUGAGACACGGUCCAGACUCCUACGGGAGGCAGCAGUGGGGAAUAUUGCACAAUGGGGGAAACCCUGAUGCAGCCAUGCCGCGUGUGUGAAGAAGGCCUUCGGGUUGUAAAGCACUUUCAGCGAGGGGGAAAGGUUGAUGCCUAAUACGUAUCAACUGUGACGUUACUCGCAGAAGAAGCACCGGCUAACUCCGUGCCAGCAGCCGCGGUAA